GACGAACGCUGGCGGCGUGCCUAAUACAUGCCAGUAGAACGCUGAAGGAGGAGCUUGCUUCUCUGGAUGAGUUGCGAACGGGUGAGUAACGCGUAGGUAACCUGCCUGGUAGCGGGGGAUAACUAUUGGAAACGAUAGCUAAUACCGCAUAAGAGUAGAUGUUGCAUGACAUUUGCUUAAAAGGUGCAAUUGCAUCACUACCAGAUGGACCUGCGUUGUAUUAGCUAGUUGGUGGGGUAACGGCUCACCAAGGCGACGAUACAUAGCCGACCUGAGAGGGUGAUCGGCCACACUGGGACUGAGACACGGCCCAGACUCCUACGGGAGGCAGCAGUAGGGAAUCUUCGGCAAUGGACGGAAGGCUGACCGAGCAACGCCGCGUGAGUGAAGAAGGUUUUCGGAUCGUAAAGCUCUGUUGUAAGAGAAGAACGAGUGUGAGAGUGGAAAGUUCACACUGUGACGGUAUCUUACCAGAAAGGGACGGCUAACUACGUG
rnacentral:rRNA from 1 species